rnacentral:rRNA from 1 species
GGGUUGUGAGGUUAAGCGACUAAGCGUACACGGUGGAUGCCUAGGCAGUCAGAGGCGAUGAAGGGCGUGCUAAUCUGCGAUAAGCGUCGGUAAGGUGAUAUGAACCGUUACAACCGACGAUACCCGAAUGGGGAAACCCAGUGUGUUUCGACACACUAUCAUGUCAUGAAUACAUAGUGGCAUGAGGCGAACCGGGGGAACUGAAACAUCUAAGUACCCCGAGGAAAAGAAAUCAACCGAGAUUCCCCCAGUAGCGGCGAGCGAACGGGGAACAGCCCAGAACCUGAAUCAGUUUGUGCGUUAGUGGAAGCGUCUGGAAAGUCGCAGGGUACAGGGUGAUACUCCCGUACACAAAAACGCA